rnacentral:rRNA from 1 species
GAUGAACGCUGGCGGCGUGCCUAAUACAUGCAAGUCGAACGCACAGCGAAAGGUGCUUGCACCUUUCAAGUGAGUGGCGAACGGGUGAGUAACACGUGGACAACCUGCCUCAAGGCUGGGGAUAACAUUUGGAAACAGAUGCUAAUACCGAAUAAAACUCAGUGUCGCAUGACACAAAAGUUAAAAGGCGCUUUGGCGUCACCUAGAGAUGGAUCCGCGGUG